rnacentral:rRNA from 1 species
AUUGAACGCUGGCGGCAUGCUUUACACAUGCAAGUCGGACGGCAGCACAGAGAAGCUUGCUUCUUGGGUGGCGAGUGGCGAACGGGUGAGUAACAUAUCGGAACGUACCGAGCAGUGGGGGAUAACUAAUCGAAAGAUUAGCUAAUACCGCAUAUUUUCUGAGGAAGAAAGCAGGGGACCAUUUGGCCUUGCGCUGUUUGAGCGGCCGAUAUCUGAUUAGCUAGUUGGUGGGGUAAAGGCCUACCAAGGCGACGAUCAGUAGCGGGUCUGAGAGGAUGAUCCGCCACACUGGGACUGAGACACGGCCCAGACUCCUACGGGAGGCAGCAGUGGGGAAUUUUGGACAAUGGGCGCAAGCCUGAUCCAGCCAUGCCGCGUGUCUGAAGAAGGCCUUCGGGUUGUAAAGGACUUUUGUCAGGGAAGAAAAGGAUAGGGUUAAUACCCCUGUCUGAUGACGUACCUGAAGAAUAAGCACCG